UACGUAGGGGCCGAGCGUUGUCCGGAGUUAUUGGGCGUAAAGCGCGCGCAGGCGGCCUCGCGCGCCCGACGUGAAAGCCCCCGGCUUAACCGGGGAGGGUCGUUGGGGACGGCGGGGCUUGAGGGCGGGAGGGGUCGGUGGAAUUCCCGGUGUAGUGGUGAAAUGCGUAGAGAUCGGGAGGAACACCUGUGGCGAAGGCGGCCGACUGGGCCGACCCUGACGCUGAGGCGCGAAGGCGUGGGGAGCGAACGGG
rnacentral:rRNA from 1 species